CUAGAGGAUUUGCCUGUUUUUAAGCCUGUCAGAGCCUCCAAUACCUCCCAAUUUCUUUUGUCAAACUGUGUAAGUUCCUCACAGUCCCUUUUCCUGAAUUUCAUACCUAUGUUCUCUCUUUUUUAUUGAAACUCUCCAGCCCAGGCAACAUUCUGGUAAAUCUCCUCUGCAUCAUGUCCAGUGUUAUCACAUCCUUCCUAUAAUAUGGGUUCCAGAACUGCACAUCAUACUGUAGCUGUGGGCUAACCAGCAUUUUAAAGGGUACCAAGCCCCUGCUCUUAAACUCUACAGUUUGAGUAAUAAAGGAACCUCCUUCCUCGAGUGUUGGUGUCAAUGACAUCUGUCAGAGAGCCAUCAAUGCCACCUCUCCCCAGACUGAAAGAGGGAAUUGAAACUUUACUCUGAAUUAAACAGCACAACUGUUAUCUGAUAUGGACUUACACACACGAUAACAAAAUGAUCAAAGAUCUCAAAGGUUCUGGAAGCAAACACAAGAGGAACAGCCUUCCUCCAUUUCCAGCUUCUUUGAGAAUGAUAUAUCAGAACCUUCAGAGGACAUACCAUCCCAACAUUGAGCUGUACCAUCCACCAGUGCAAAAGCAUUCACCUCAGCAGGUAACCAUUCUAGUUUAGGCUCAGGCCUGAUGAACAAAUAAAGGCAAGUGCCCACAGUGGGUGGAGGUUGUCAGAGCAGAGAUCGUAUUAACUUGCUGAACUUCUGCCUUGGUCCCUUCUUUCCCUCCCACAACACUGAUAGGGUCCCCCGGUCCUCACCUUUCAUCCACCAGCAUCCACAUCCAAAGGAUCAUAAGCCAUCCUUUUCAUUACCUUCAGCAGGACAUCGCCACCAAAUACAUAUUCUCCUCCCCUCCCUUGUCAGCUUUCUGCCAGGACCUUUCCUUCUGGGACACCCUGGUCCACUCCAUCUCCAUUACCAGCAGCUCCCUACACCCUCACAGCACUUUCCCAUGCAAUUGCAGAAGAUGUAAU